rnacentral:lncRNA from 1 species
UGUGAAUUUUUGUGUAGUUUUCGUUUAUUCUCCGUUAAAAUUUCGCGUUUUCAACCAAAUAGCGCCAUUAAAAUUGUGUAAAAUUUGUGCAAGUGCAAAUUCGAUGCGAAAUAUAAACAUUAGCGUUAGAAAAUCGUGAAAAACAACGCACGUGGGCGUUAAAAACAAGAAAAUCCAGUGUGGCUGAUUGGAGUGAGGCGGCUUUUCCAAUUGGUAACGUUCCCACUGGCGGUGCGUGUUUGUGCAUGUGUGUGCAGGCGAGCGCCUGUUUUUGACAGCUAAAAAAAUCGAUUUGUUUACAUGUUAACUAUAAAGAAUUUCUAGCAUUUUAAUUGUAGCAAAAGUGAUUUGAAGAAAGUUUGCAGUUUUUCGAAUGUAAAAAAGUGCAUAGCAGUGUAGCUUUGAUGAAAAUUUCGGUAAAUAACGGCGCUUAACCGGCGUAUUGUGUUGUUUUUGUAUCCUGGCUGCUGACCCUAGCCGGCACAGCGGAGCCACUUGCGACGCUGACUGUGACUGUGCCGUCGACGUCUGUAUUUGUUUGUGUAAAUAGUACGCUUUUGGUCAAAAUAGCAGUUAUAUUCAUCGAUUGCAGCGUAUUUUGCAAGAAUUUUGCUCAAUUUUAGUGCAAUGCUUUAAAAAGCAGCCAGCUUAGUGUAAAAAAACGAAUUUCAACUCACAAUUUGUUGCGUUGACGCCUUUGGCCAGCAACAAAACAAAAUUUACCUGGUGUGUGGCAGUAAAGUGUGGUUGCGAGUAGUGUAUAGCCACCACCAAGCAGCAUACAUACGCUGUUACAGAUGUACAUAGUGUUGUGUAUGAUAAUAUGAUGAAAAUAGUAUCCAGUAGGCAAUUUAAUAAAACCAGUUUGAUAAGUAAAGCGAAUUUUGUGUUCUCAGCUUGUGCCACUGCGCCCCGUUUAGAGUGUUAAAUACAUUAAAUCUGUGGUUUGUCAAAAAAGAAAAAAAAAGUACACCACCGUAAGUGUAGCGCGCGUUUUGUGUAAAAUUGUUUCAUUUGAAUCGAAGCCCACACGUUACAUAUAUAGCGUGUUUGUAUGUAUGUUCACAUGACGGGCUCAAAGCCUCAGUGUUAACAUUUGUUUGUGGACUAUGCUUUGUGUGGUUUCAACGCCGGCUGUGUUCUACGUGUGUUGCAGCAAUAUAUUUUGAUUAUUAAAAAGUGUACCGAUUUAAUGUCGUAAGAACUCGUCAUCUAAAUUUUCAAUGAACGAAUGAGCAGCAAGUGUGGCUAAAACGCAGAAUCAACAUACUUCAAGAUUGACCGUACUAACUGUUGUCUGAAAACAUUACUAUUGGCAGCUGGCUGGCUAGAAGAUUCUUCUUAUCAGCUAAACAUUGACUUUCAGAAUUAUUGGUUCCAAACAUAUUGCGAGCAGCAGCAGUGUUCGAUAUUUCGUCCAAAUAGUUCGCUCCGCAUGCCAGCUAUACGUGACAAGUGAAACGAGACCAAAGCACUAGCGAACGUCCACAAACGAGACAGAGCACACGACAGCAAGCGAGAGCAAGAGAGCGAUAUAAGCAAUUGACAAGAAGAAAGAUAGCUGGAAAGCAGAAUUAUAGAGCAGAAUUGGAAUUUUGCUAAAUUAAAGAGACAGGCGAAAUUGACAAGUGCCGCUACGUUUAAGUACGAAUUGAACAGUAGAUGAUAAAAGAUAAGAUAAAAGCUAAAAAGAAAGCUCCGUAGAAAGCAUCAAACAUAUGAAUAAGAGUAAUGUGGUGCUAAAUAUGAGUAAACAGCAGAAAGAAAGCUGAAAAAAAUUGCAAACUUAAAUUAAAUGCAAGCUUGAGGUUACAGAAAAAAGCUCGUAAGCAAAGCUAAAGCUACGAGCAUGCAAUAAAACUGUAAAAUAUCACGAAAUAAGAUAAAAGUUAUGACAAGAUAGGCGUUAAGAAACGCAUUAAAAGAUAUAAAGUGAAAUAAAACAAAGAAGGAAGCAAAAUAAUCUUCAGCAGCAAAAAGCGCCUAAAAAGCUUGACAACGUAAAGCUCAUAUAAAGCAGAUAAAAGCUUUAAGAUCAGCUGUUUGAUACAAA